CCCAGACUCCUACGGGAGGCAGCAGUGGGGAAUAUUGCACAAUGGGGGAAACCCUGAUGCAGCGACGCCGCGUGAGUGAAGAAGUAUCUCGGUACGUAAAGCUCUAUCAGCAGGGAAGAAAAUGACGGUACCUGACUAAGAAGCCCCGGCUAACUACGUGCCAGCAGCCGCGGUAAUACGUAGGGGGCAAGCGUUAUCCGGAAUUACUGGGUGUAAAGGGUGCGUAGGUGGCAUGGUAAGUCAGAAGUGAAAGCCCGGGGCUUAACCCCGGGACUGCUUUUGAAACUGUCAUGCUGGAGUGCAGGAGAGGUAAGCGGAAUUCCUAGUGUAGCGGUGAAAUGCGUAGAUAUUAGGAGGAACACCAGUGGCGAAGGCGGCUUACUGGACUGUCACUGACACUGAUGCACGAAAGCGUGGGGAGCAAACAGGAUUAGAUACCCCAGUA
rnacentral:rRNA from 1 species